GACGAACGCUGGCGGCGUGCCUAACACAUGCAAGUCGAGCGAUGAAACCCUUCGGGGUGGAUUAGCGGCGGACGGGUGAGUAACACGUGGGUAACCUGCCUCAAAGAGAGGGAUAGCCUCCCGAAAGGGAGAUUAAUACCGCAUAACAUUAGUUUUUCGCAUGAAGAACUAAUUAAAGGAGUAAUCCGCUUUGAGAUGGAUCCGCGGCGCAUUAGCUAGUUGGUGAGGUAAAGGCUCACCAAGGCGACGAUGCGUAGCCGACCUGAGAGGGUGAUCGGCCACAUUGGAACUGAGACACGGUCCAGACUCCUACGGGAGGCAGCAGUGGGGAAUAUUGCACAAUGGGCGAAAGCCUGAUGCAGCAACGCCGCGUGAGUGAUGAAGGCCUUCGGGUUGUAAAGCUCUGUCUUUUGGGACGAUAAUGACGGUACCAAAGGAGGAAGCCACGGCUAACUACGUGCCAGCAGCCGCGGUAAUACGUAGGUGGCGAGCGUUGUCCGGAUUUACUGGGCGUAAAGGAUGCGUAGGCGGAUAUUUAAGUGAGAUGUGAAAUACCCGAGCUUAACUUGGGUGCUGCAUUUCAAACUGGAUAUCUAGAGUGUGGGAGAGGAGAAUGGAAUUCCUAGUGUAGCGGUGAAAUGCGUAGAGAUUAGGAAGAACACCAGUGGCGAAGGCGAUUCUCUGGACCAUAACUGACGCUGAGGCAUGAAAGCGUGGGUAGCAAACAGGAUUAGAUACCCUGGUAGUCCACGCCGUAAACGAUGAGUACUAGGUGUAGGGGGGUCCAACCCUCUGUGCCGCAGUUAACACAAUAAGUACUCCGCCUGGGAAGUACGAUCGCAAGAUUAAAACUCAAAGGAAUUGACGGGGGCCCGCACAAGCAGCGGAGCAUGUGGUUUAAUUCGAAGCAACGCGAAGAACCUUACCUGG
rnacentral:rRNA from 1 species